GAAGUGACAGCGCCGUACCGGAAGUUCAGUCCCUGGGACUGAAUCCUGCGCUCGGAGCGCAGCCGCACGGUGCUUCCCUGCGUGCGAUGAGACGAAUCGGAGCGUUUGGGGGCUCCACGGCCCUGUGGGCGCUGCUGGCCGCCCACGUGGCGGGGGCGUUCGAGCCCGUAAGCGUGGGCAUCGCCAUCGGGGCCGUGUCGGCGCUCACCGGCUACCUGUCCUAUACCGAUUUCUACUGCCGCUUCACCGAGUGCUGCCAUGAGGAACGGCCCCUCAACACGUCGGCCCUCAAGCUGGACUUGGAAGAGAAGCUGUUUGGACAGCACCUUGCCACCGAAGUGAUUCUCAAGGCAUUGACUGGCUUCAGGAACAACAAAAAUUCCAAGAAACCAUUGACUCUGUCCUUGCACGGCUGGGCUGGCACGGGCAAGAAUUUUAUCAGCCAGAUUGUGGCUGAAAACCUUUAUCCAAAAGGCCUGAAGAGUAACUUUGUCCACCUGUUCGUCUCUACUUUGCACUUCCCUCAUGAGCAGAAGAUAAAGGUGUACCAGGUUGGUCCAGGACCAGCUCCAGAAGUGGAUCCGAGGCAAUGUGAGUGCGUGUGGCAGCUCCGUCUUCAUCUUUGACGAGAUGGAUAAGUUGCAUCCUGGGAUCAUUGAUGCAAUCAAGCCCUUCCUGGACUACUAUGAGCAGGUGGAUGGGAUUUCCUACCGCAGAGCCAUCUUCAUCUUCCUCAGCAAUGCAGGAGGAGACCUGAUCACUAAGACGGCCCUGGACUUCUGGCGGGCAGGAAGAAAAAGGGAGGAGAUCCAGCUGAAGGACCUGGAGCCUGUGCUGUCUGUGGGCGUCUUCAACAACAAGCACAGUGGCCUGUGGCACAGUGGGCUAAUAGACAAAAACCUCAUCGACUAUUUUAUCCCCUUCCUGCCCUUGGAGUACAAACACGUGAAGAUGUGUGUGCGGGCAGAGAUGAGGGCCCGAGGGGCUGCCGUCGAUGAGGACGUCGUCACCAGUGUGGCAGAUGAAAUGACCUUCUUCCCCAAGGAUGAGAAGAUCUACUCAGACAAGGGCUGCAAGACUGUGCAGUCCCGGCUGGAUUUCCACUGAGCUCUUCAUCCAGUGGAGUGGGAAGAUUCAGGGGAACCUCCCACCCCGUUCCAGGCCUUGUCAUGGAGCACUUUGAAGAGCCCCCUUGGGGCUUUGCACAUUUGCACCUGUGGACUUGGGAUGCUGUCAGUGCGGCAUCUGAAGAUGAACUUUAAGAAUGCUCACACUUUACUGUGAAUCAAGUGCCUAAAAAAAAAAAACCAAAACUGUCUGAACGCAGGCCAAAAGUCCUGUGUGGCCAACAGCACCCAUGCCUCAGAUGCCACUAAUGGGCCUGCUGCACCCUGCUGUACCCUCAGGGAGGCAGGGUUUCCUACCACUGGGCUGUUUUUUUCUUUUCUGCCUUGACCUGGUAAUCACAAUUUCGGAAGCUGGUGGCACUGACAGAUGCUCACUGCUAGAGGGGAGCAUGUGGGCUUGACCUUGGCUGGACUGUCAGUGUGAGCAGUGGGGGCUCCCUCUGAGGCCCCUGGAGCACACAGGGACACAGAGCCUUUGAGUUUAUGCCUUCUGUUCGCUACUGCUCGCAGCCCUGGCUGUGGGAUGCUCUGUCCAGUCUCCCACUGUGUAUGGGUCACAACCUGCCUUGUACCUUGCCUAUCAAUUGUUAGAUUCACCCAGCCUCAUCCCUGCUUGCAUCAGGAUGAGCUGUCAUUUUUGAAGGAGGUCUUUGGACCCUGUUUGCCUGUUACACUUGCUCUGAAGGUCAAGCUCCGAUUUGCAGAACAUGCAUAGGAAGAGAAGCUCUAGGCUGGGGCUGACCUGGCCAAACCCCAUGGGAAGGAGUGUGUCUGCUGUACACCAGAGAUGCCGUUUUUUUUUUUUUUAAAGGACAUGCACAUAUUUAAAAUUUAUAUUUUUACUUCUAAAGCUUAGGUAAUAAAUGUAAGAUGCCAUGCAUUUUAAAACCUAGGAAGUGCCACAAGUGCUGGGGCACACCUUUAAUCCCAGCACUCUUGAGGCAAAGGCAGGUAGAUUCUGGGAGUUUGAACCCAACCUUGUCUACUUAGUGGGUUCCAGGACAGCCAAGACUACACAGCCCUUUUUCAAAAAAUAAAGACCUAGGAAGGACAUAAAAUAGAAUGAGGCUUAUUCUCAGGUUUUUAACGUUGCUGGAUAUGGGGCACAAUACCCAUGAUCCCAGCAGGAAGAUCAGGGUUCAGGGUUCCUCAGCUGGCUUGAGUUUAAGAACUGCCUGAGUUACAUGAAACUCAAAAGAAAAAAAAAAAGGGUCUUAUUGUUAAUUGUGUAGAGAGUAGAACUAUACUGGCACAACUCAGCUUGUGGGUUCUGGGUGUAAUCUCAGGAUGACGCCUUGAGUGGCAUCUGGGCUGCUCUGACUGUAGGGAGCUGAGCCUGUGAGCCUAUCCUUGUGAACCAUUCUGUCCUACAGUUGCUAUGCAGCUGCAGACAUGGAAACUCUGCCAUGUUUUUAUACAAUGUGGUAGAAUGGCUAUUUUUAUAACACGGAAAUGCCUUAAAGAGAAUCACAGCUUGUCACUUAGAAAUGCCACGCUGAGCUGGGUGUGGUGGUGCUCACCUUUAGUCCCAGAACCUGUGAGGCCAUGGCAGGACUGUCUCAAGUUUGAGGCAAGCCUAGGCUACACAAGGGAAUGCCAGGCCAGUGGUGUGCAUGCCUGCAAUCCUAGCACUUCGGAAGAGGAGUUUAAAGUUAGUUGAGCUACGUACAGAGAGACCCUGUCUCAAAGCAGGAAGCAAACCAAAACGUGCCAAGGUGAGGGUGACUUUCAGGCCAUAGUCUUGGACUGGAGCCGAGUUACUGUUUGUGACCUGUUGGGCUCCCGGUUUUCUGUUUACAGUGAUGUAAUACGUGGACACGUGUUGGCCACCUUUGGACUGCUGUUACUGAUCUCCAACUUUGAAAGGCCUGGUGUGGCCUGCCCCAGCCUCCCUGUGAGAACAGAGAUGGACGCAAGAUAAUAAAAGCAUUGCGAGACGUAA